rnacentral:tRNA from 1 species
ACCUGACUGGCUCAGUCAGCAGAGCAUCUGACUCUUAAUCUUGGGGUCAUGAGUUCAAGUCCCAUGGUGGGCG